GCUGGAGUAGCUCAGCCGGUAGAGCAGCCGCCUUGUAAGCGGCAGGUCAUCGGUUCGAUUCCGAUCUCCAGCU
rnacentral:tRNA from 1 species